AUUGAACGCUGGCGGCAGGCCUAACACAUGCAAGUCGAACGGUAACAGGAAACAGCUUGCUGUUUCGCUGACGAGUGGCGGACGGGUGAGUAAUGUCUGGGAAACUGCCUGAUGGAGGGGGAUAACUACUGGAAACGGUAGCUAAUACCGCAUAACGUCGCAAGACCAAAGAGGGGGACCCUCGGGCCUCUUGCCAUCGGAUGUGCCCAGAUGGGAUUAGCUUGUUGGUGGGGUAACGGCUCACCAAGGCGACGAUCCCUAGCUGGUCUGAGAGGAUGACCAGCCACGCUGGAACUGAGACACGGUCCAGACUCCUACGGGAGGCAGCAGUGGGGAAUAUUGCACAAUGGGCGCAAGCCUGAUGCAGCCAUGCCGCGUGUAUGAAGAAGGCCUUCGGGUUGUAAAGUACUUUCAGCGGGGAGGAAGGGAGUAAAGUUAAUACCUUUGCUCAUUGACGUUACCCGCAGAAGAAGCACCGGCUAACUCCGUG
rnacentral:rRNA from 1 species